rnacentral:rRNA from 1 species
AUUGAACGCUGGCGGCAUGCCUUACACAUGCAAGUCGAACGGCAGCGCGGGAGCUUGCUCCUGGCGGCGAGUGGCGAACGGGUGAGUAAUACAUCGGAACGUACCCAGAAGUGGGGGAUAACGUAGCGAAAGUUACGCUAAUACCGCAUAUUCUUUGAGCAGGAAAGUGGGGGAUCGCAAGACCUCACGCUUUUGGAGCGGCCGAUGUCGGAUUAGCUAGCUGGUGAGGUAAAGGCGCACCAAGGGGACGAUCCGUAGCGGGUCUGAGAGGAUAAUCCGCCACACUGGGACUGAGACACGGCCCAGACUCCUACGGGAGGCAGCAGUGGGGAAUUUUGGACAAUGGGGGCAACCCUGAUCCAGCCAUGCCGCGUGAGUGAAGAAGGCCUUCGGGUUGUAAAGCUCUUUCGCGAGGGAAGAAAGCGCACUGGUUAAUACCUGGUGUGGAUGACGGUACCUUGAUAAGAAGCACCGGCUAACUACGUGCCAGCCGCCGCCGUAACAC